rnacentral:lncRNA from 1 species
CAUGUUUAUAUUUCUUUCUGCAGGUGAUAUUUUGGGGAAUGUCAUCACACCGGUCUACAGUGAAGUAUACAGAACAGAAAAGGACAUUACAUCUCUCUCCUGUAACUACUCCUCAGCGACGAGUCUAUAUUGGUAUCGUCAAUAUCCCAGAUCGGCUCCUGAAUUUCUUUUAGUCAUUCUACAUGCUACUGGCUGAAGAAAAAAACAGUAAAAAUGUUUGUUAGGUCCACCUCUUUCCAGAUUUCUCAACCUUGUUGAGGAACUUAACAAUAACAAUGAACAUAACAUAACAUAAAAUUUGUAAAAAAAAAAAAAAAAAAAAAAAAACUUUAGUUAACUCCUUGUUCUCAUAACAGGUAAUUUUUAAAGUGUUGUUUACAUAAACACAACUAUUGAAAAGUCAGAUUUAUUUUUAAAUUAAUAGUUUUAUUCAGCAAAGACGCAUUAAAUUGAUCAGAAGUGACAUUUAUAAUGUAACAGAAGAUUUCUAUUUCAAAUAAACUCUUUAUAUUUUGAAAUGGUUUUCCAUGCAUUGCAGUUUAUGAAUUACAGCUUUAAGGGGAGGGGCUAUAGAGAAAUUCUCAUUGGAGAAAAAAAGAAAAAUGAAAUGCUUACUUCAGUAACAGUAACAGGUGUUGCAGAUUAACUUGUAUAUUGUCCUGAACAAUGAUACUCUUUGUUUUUAUUUUGCUUUUUUCUCUUGCAGGUGAUAUUUUUGGGAAUGUCAUCACACCGGUCUACAGUGAAGUAUACAGAACAGAAAAGGACAUUACAUCUCUCUCCUGUAACUACUCCUCAGCGGCGAGACUAUAUUGGUAUCGUCAAUAUCCCCAAUCGGCUCCUGAAUUUCUUUUAGUCAUUCUACAUGCUACUGGAAAUGUUUUACAGAAGUCUGAAGUUGUGGAACUAGAUCCUCGAUUCUCUGGAAAACUGAAUAAAGAGAAAACCCGCACGUAUCUUGAAAUCUCCUCUGCUAAAGUGACAGACUCUGCUCUGUACUACUGCAGGUGAUAUUUUUGGGAAUGUCAUCACACCGGUCUACAGUGAAGUAUACAGAACAGAAAAGGACAUUACAUCUCUCUCCUGUAACUACUCCUCAGCGGCGAGACUAUAUUGGUAUCGUCAAUAUCCCCAAUCGGCUCCUGAAUUUCUUUUAGUCAUUCUACAUGCUACUGGAAAUGUUUUACAGAAGUCUGAAGUUGUGGAACUAGAUCCUCGAUUCUCUGGAAAACUGAAUAAAGAGAAAACCCGCACGUAUCUUGAAAUCUCCUCUGCUAAAGUGACAGACUCUGCUCUGUACUACUGUGCCCUGGAGCCCACAGUGACAGGAAAACAAACAACACUGUACAAAAACCUUUCCUACACAGAGGGUAAAAUAUACCACAUUCAACUGCAUCACAGUCAAUCUGCAGAAAUAUGGGAAAUAAAAUAAAUAAAUAAAAAUAAAAUGCAACCUAAUGUUUCUGAUGUACAGUCCCAAUUUUGUUUGGUUGCUUAGAUUUUGUAUGUGCGGAUGGGUUUUAAAGCUGAGACUGAUUGUGCUGAAAAGCAACCAUUCCACAAGACUACUAAAGCAACACAUACUGGGGUUAGGUAUUAACUGUAAAUAAAAGCUCCAUGAUUUGUAAGCUAUGUAUGUGUUACCUAACUCCAAAAUCCUAAUGUAACCUAAUUAAGAAAAAAAUAAGUGACAAUAAUAACAGCAACAAUAGAAUUCCUACAAUGAGAUUAGAUUGCCAUCUGGUGGGCUGGUAAUAUAGGAGCUGUUAAUGAUUAACUUUAAUGUUUUUUUUUCUUCUUUGUUUAAAAACUAGCUUCUGAUUGCAAAAGUAAUCAGAUUGAUUCCUAGCUAGUGAAUUUUGCUCUUUCAUGAGAUAAAAUGUUAUUUUAACUAAGAGGUUAAACGAUGUACCUUAUAUUGUUUUAGCUUGAGGUAUGGAGCAUUGAUUGAUCGAUCUAACUAAACAAACUAAAAAAAAAUGCUUUUUUAAAUAUUUAAAUAUGCUCAACAAUCUUUAUUUAAGUUUUUUGUUUGUUUGUUUGUUUUUUUGUAGGUAACAGAGCUAAAGAUGUCAUCACACCAUACAGUGAUGCAGCAUUUGCCACUGAGAGUGAGAGUGUGAAACUCUCUUGUAACUACACUGGUUCUGUUGAUAGUCUUCACUGGUAUCGGCAAUAUGCAGGUUCAUCACCACAGUUCCUCAUUCUGGAUUAUUCAGGAUAUGUUACUCAUGCUAAUCCUCCAGUUUCUGGAAUAUCCAUCAACCACAGAAAAGAAGAGAACAGUGUGGAUCUGAUCAUCUUCUCUGCUGCUGUAACAGACUCUGCUCUCUUCUACUGUGCUUUGAGGCCCACAGUCACAGGAAACAUUCAACACACCAUACAAAAACAAUAGAAAUUAGUCAAAUUUGCAGUGAUGUCUAUCCAUCAGGCAUAUGAAGGCAUAUAUUCAGAAUAUAUAAUUGUGCUCUCAAAUUGCAAUUUGUUUAUGAAUUACUCUGAGCUUUGUAUUCAAAAUACACAUCCAUUCUUCAUUGUUAAAAAUGAAAUGAUUUGACAAGAUGAAUCGCUAGUGAUGGAAGAUAACACUAUUCUGAUGCAAACUAUUAUGGAUUCUAUUCACUGUCUUCUUAAAAUCUGUGUAAUAUAGUGUACAUUUUGGAAAACAAUUCUGAAAAGUUUUCAUAAAUUCCUGUCCACUGUACUGUAGUUGGAACAAUUUUGCACAUUUUAGUCUCCAUUUUGAAUGCACCAGUUUUUUGAUACAUGUAUAUGUUUGUCAUCUGCCACUAGGGGGUGAAGUUGCAGCAAAAACAACACAUGCAGUUUGAACUGAGUGAAUUACAGUAUUUACAUUCAGAAUUCUAAUGGUUAUUUUUCAAAAUACACAUCCAUUCUUCAUUGUUAAAAAUGAAAUGAUUUGACAAGAUGAAUCGCUAGUGAUGGAAGAUAACACUAUUCUGAUGCAAACUAUUAUGGAUUCUAUUCACUGUCUUCUUAAAAUCUGUGUAAUAUAGUGUACAUUUUGGAAAACAAUUCUAAAAAAGUUUUCAUAAAUUCCUGUCCACUGUACUGUAGUUGGAACAAUUUUGCACAUUUUAGUCUCCAUUUUGAAUGCACCAGUUUUUUGAUACAUGUAUAUGUUUGUCAUCUGCCACUAGGGGGUGAAGUUGCAGACAAAACAACACAUGCAGUUUGAACUGAGUGAAUUACAGUAUUUACAUUCAGAAUUCUAAUGGUAUUUUCUUUAAACAAAGAAUACAGAGGGCAGAAUAAUCAAAGAUGUCAAACACAAAGAGACAGUAACUCUGAGCUUUAUAUAAUAGAUCAAGUUCAAAAGAGCAAAAGAAAAUCCUAUUAAUCGGAAUUGUAAGCAACAUAAAUAUGCUUUCUGCAAAUCUGAAUAAUUAUUGCUAUAGAAUCCUCAUUUCAAGAUUAUCCCCCUAAAAUGUCACUGAAAUAUGUUGUAACUUGUAAUUUAUCUGUAUCAAUGUAAUACUUUUAUUUAUUUAUUUUAUUAAAAAUGUGGGAUUGUGUUAUAAAUAACAGUCUUGUCUGUCAUAUAUUGUGUGAGAUGAGGGCUGAAUGUUGUCUGAGUAGGAGGAGUUUAGCAUAUACAUUGUGAAAUGCAAUAAGACUGUCAACAUUUCACAAGCCUUAUUUGAUUAACAGAUGUUUCUAUGUGUCUCCUGUUCAAACCUGAUUAUUGUGCCAACAGAUGUUUCUAUGUGUCUCCUGUUCAAACCUGAUUAUUGUGCCAACAUGUUGAUUUAUUUAAUUGCAUUACUAUCAUCAGCUCAAGGUAGGGUAUUAUUGCAUAUGUGGACAUUUUAUUAGUUCACUGUAAAAAAAUAUAUAUAUAAUUUGAAGUUGUCAAUAAAAACAAAUAAUACUGGAGUAUUACUAUUCUUUUAAAAAGAAAAUAUUAUACUAUAUUUUUCAAUAUUUAAUUUAAUGUGUUACUUGCAGUU